rnacentral:lncRNA from 1 species
CUUUGAGAUCUCCUAUGCUCUGGAUACCACCCAGUGUCUCAAUUGACUUCCUGUUGCCUGAAAGAUGUAGGACUCUCAGCUACUACUCCGUACCAUGCCUGCCUGCCUGCACACCACCAUACUCCCUGCCAUGAUGACAAUGGACUGAACCUCUGAAACUGAAGAACUUGGGGAUGUCGGAGUGGCUGCCUAUCCUCUGAAGUACUACACCAUCAUCCACAGACCUCGGGUUAACAUGAAGGUCACAUGGUGAAGGGUGCUAUUGAGACAGAGUACAUACAAACCAGAUAUAGCUUCUGCCUUAGGGGUAUGUGAUGAACUUCAGAAACACCAAUAAAUCACCAACUAUUAACACCAAUUGUGUAAGAACUAAGAAAAAGAAGUGCUAUGGAAGAUAAUAAAGGAUGUGUGCUUAAGCUGAGAAGUCAAAGGCAAGCAGGGAAGCAGUGUGGUCUGACCCUGGAACUUUUAGGGACAACUCUCUGUACCUGACUGGACUUCAGCUGGCCAUGAAUUUGUGAUUGUGCCUUAGCCUCCUGAGAAGCUGGAAUUACAAGCCUGUGCCAUCAGGCCUUUGAUUUAUUUAUGUUGGGUGAAAGUUACUUUCUGGAAUAAAUCUCAUUUGCCUGUUGUAUUUUUGUCUUCUAUUUUGAUGUGAUGAUCUGCUAGUAUUUUGUGUAAGAAUUCUGUAUCUGUUUCUACGUGGUACUUGGUGAUGUUUUUCUAACAUCUUAGAUUUUAUAAGAUUAUGCUGUCAUUAUUCCUUCCUAUUUUCCAAAUUCAUGUAAGACUGACAUCGCAUGUUCUUUAAAUGUUUACAGAUCUCACCAGUGAAACCAUCUGUGAAACCUAGAGUUGUUUUGUAAAUUAUUUAAAAAUUAAUUCAAAAUUUCUAUUUCUUCAGCCAGUUUUGGUUUGUGAAUGAAUAUAUUUAUUGCUAUCUGAUUUUAUUGGUCUAAGUUAACUUGUAAUAUUCUUCUCUUACAGUUUUAACUAGGAAUUCUCAAGCAUAGGACCACUAAUAUUUGAGAUCAAUAAAGUUGAGGAAGACGUGUGUGUGCAUGGCAGAAGGCUUAGCUGCUUCUCUGGCUUCACCCACUCCAUUAAUAGCAUGGCCUGAUUAUGACAACCAAAUAUGGUCCCAGCCAUUACAACCAUGCUCUGCCAUGGAAUUGACUGAAGGUUCAUGUCAUAUGCCUGUACAGAAGUGCUCAAAUCCUGCAGAUAUGACUAAUUUGUCUCUUUAUCCUUAUUCUUCUAUUAGUUUUACUAGAAUUAUGCACUGUACAAAAAUAGGCUGUGCAUUUACUUGUCCGAUGCCCCAGUUUGCUUGCCCUGUCUUGGAUGCUUUAAUUUUUUUCUCCAUGUUUUUCUAAUAAAAGCGUUAAAAAUAAUAUAUUUGUCU